CCCUGCCGAGCCGAUUGCCUUGACCAGAUGUUCAACUCCUACUUAACCCCCUGAGGGACUUGACAACUCCACUACAACCUGUCGCUAUCUCCAAGCCGUCAAGGCAUAAGAUCUCCGCAGGUAUUUGGCACGACCUGCCAUUAAUGCAUGAGACCUCCUCAAGUCUCCGAUGCGCUCAGUCAUUUAAUGAACACGGCUCAAGACGAUCUCCGGAUCACUGAACCAUCAAAGCGUAUGGCUCUCCCUGACCGCCGGUUCAUUCGGUAAUAAAUGCGCUUACCAUCCAUGGACCCCGGGCCUACCACGGCCGGCGGUUCAAC
rnacentral:lncRNA from 1 species